rnacentral:rRNA from 1 species
AUUGAACGCUCGCGGGAUGCUUUACACAUGCAAGUCGAACGGCAGCGCGGACUUCGGUCUGGCGGCGAGUGGCGAACGGGUGAGUAAUGUAUCGGAACGUGCCCAGUAGCGGGGGAUAACUACGCGAAAGCGUAGCUAAUACCGCAUACGCCCUACGGGGGAAAGCAGGGGAUCGUAAGACCUUGCACUAUUGGAGCGGCCGAUAUCGGAUUAGCUAGUUGGUGAGGUAACGGCUCACCAAGGCGACGAUCCGUAGCUGGUUUGAGAGGACGACCAGCCACACUGGGACUGAGACACGGCCCAGACUCCGACGGGAGGCAGCAGUGGGGAAUUUUGGACAAUGGGGGCAACCCUGAUCCAGCCAUCCCGCGUGUGGGAUGAAGGCCUUCGGGUUGUAAAGCACUUUUGGCAGGAAAGAAACGUCGCGGGCUAAUACCCCGUGGAACUGACGGUACCUGCAGAAUAAGCACCGGCUAACUACGUG